AGCAGCCGCGGUAAUUCCAGCUCCAAUAGCGUAUAUUAAAGUUGUUGCAGUUAAAAGCUCGUAGUUGAAUUUCGGGGUCAGCAGGUCGGUCGUGCCACUGGUAUGUACUGGCUUUGCUGAUUCCUCCCUCUUGACGAACCGUAAUGCCAUUAAUUUGGUGUUGCGGGAAAUCAGGACUGUUACUUUGAAAAAUUGAGUGUUUAAAGCAGGCUUACGCUUGAAUACAUUAGCAUGGAAUAAUGAAAUAGGACGUUCGAUCCUAUUUUGUUGGUUUCUAGGAUUGACGUAAUGAUUAAUAGGGAUAGUUGGGGGCUAUUAGUAUUCAAUUGUCAGAGGUGUAAAUUCUUGGAUUUAUUGAAGACUAACUACUGACG
rnacentral:rRNA from 1 species